CAGCAGGCGCGAAAACUUUGCAAUACACGAAAGUGUGACAGGGCUAUCCCGAGUGCCAUCCGCUGAGGAAGGCUUUUACCCAGUCUAGAACGCUGGGGGAAUAAGGAGAGGGCAAGUCUGGUGUCAGCCGCCGCGGUAAUACCAGCUCUCCGAGUGGUGUGGAUGUUUAUUGGGCCUAAAGCAUCCGUAGCUGGCUAAGUUAGUCCCUUGUUAAAUCCACCGAAUUAAUCGUUGGAUUGCGGGGGAUACUGCUUGGCUAGGGGACGAGAGAGGCAGACGGUAUUUCCGGGGUAGGGGUGAAAUCCUAUAAUCCCGGGAAGACCACCAGUGGCGAAGGCUGUCUGCUAGAACGCGCCCGACGGUGAGGGAUGAAAGCUGGGGGAGCGAACCGGAUUAGAUACCCGGGUAGUCCCAGCUGUAAACGAUGCAGGCUAGGUGUUUGGACGGCCACGUGCCGUUCUAGUGCCGCAGGGAAGCUGUUAAGCCUACCGCCUGGGGAGUACGAUCGCAAGAUUGAAACUUAAAGGAAUUGGCGGGGGAGCACAAGG
rnacentral:rRNA from 1 species